GACGAACGCUGGCGGCGUGCUUAACACAUGCAAGUCGAACGGAAAGGCCCUGCUUUUGUGGGGUGCUCGAGUGGCGAACGGGUGAGUAUCACGUGAGUAACCUGCCCUUUACUUUGGGAUAACUUCAGGAAACUGGGGCUCAUACCGGAUAUGAGCUCCUUCUGCAUGGUGGUGGUUGGAAAGUUUCGGUGGUUGGGGAUGGACUCGAGUCUUAUCAGCUUGUUGGUGGGGUAGUGGCGUACCAAGGAGUUGACGGGUAGCCGGCGUGAGAGGGUGACCGGGCACAUAGGGACAGGGGUACGAGCAAGAGGGAAACGGGAGGAAGCGGUGGAGGAUAGAGCAAGAAAGGCGGAAGGAGGGUGCAGGAACGCCGGGUGGGGGAAGACGGCCGGCAGGUAGGAAAGUGGGUUAGCCUGGAAAGAAGAGUGAGUGACGGUAACGGGUAAAGAAGCAACGGCUAACUACGUG
rnacentral:rRNA from 1 species